UUCCACUUGGGGGCGCUAGACUCCCUUGAAGGUGGGUUCACUAUCUUCCCAGCAGGGUGUGAAAGCCAGUUCAGCUCCUGAACCCCACAAUUGUUCAACAGGCUUUUGGAGCCUGACCGGUUUCCGAAGACAUAAUCUGGACAACUAGGACAUUUUCUUUCGGCACUCACAUGACAGCGGCACCAGCAUUGUGUCUGGUUUAAGCAGGAGAGCUCUUCAAACCCAGGCCACGGGCAAGUAUGAAGCCUGAACACCGAACGAUACCCACAAGACAGUGGACCAGGAUGUCGUGGCCUACCACACUAGGUCUACAGCCAAGAAGAAGAGGAUGUCUCUGAGGAGGAUGAGCACACCAUCCUUCCAGAAGCGGAGGAGGAGGAGGCCUUCUCUCCAGGCCCUGGGGGACAUUGUGGGCUGCAGAAUUUCUCACGGAUGGAAGGAAUUUGAUGAGCCCAUCACCCAAUGGAAGGUCAUGGUUCUAGAUCAACUGCCAACAAAUCCCUCUCUCUAUCUGGUCAAGUAUGAUGGAAUUGAUUGUGACUACGGACUGGCACUUCACAGCGAUGAGAGGAUUUUAAAGCUUAAGGUCUUGCCUCACAAAGUAGUGUUUCCUCAAGUGAAAGACCCCCAUCUCGUAAGUGCAUGGUUACCCUGGUGUCUGAGUCAUCUGUAAUAAAACCCACUAAUAUUAAGAUCAAAGUCACAGGAACUAUGACAAAUAGCAAAUCACACGACAAGCAUCAUAGUUGUCCAAGCCUUUUCUGCAGCCUUAUUGCAGUAUAAAUUACAUACUUAAAAA